GACGAACGCUGGCGGCGUGCCUAAUACAUGCAAGUUGAGCGAUGAAGAUUGGUGCUUGCACCAAUUUGAAGAGCAGCGAACGGGUGAGUAACGCGUGGGGAAUCUGCCUUUGAGCGGGGGACAACAUUUGGAAACGAAUGCUAAUACCGCAUAAUAACUUUAAACAUAAGUUUUAAGUUUGAAAGAUGCAAUUGCAUCACUCAAAGAUGAUCCCGCGUUGUAUUAGCUAGUUGGUGAGGUAAAGGCUCACCAAGGCGAUGAUAUAUAGCCGACCUGAGAGGGUGAUCGGCCACAUUGGGACGGGGACACGGCCCAAACUCCUACGGGAGGCAGCAGUAGGGAAUCUUCGGCAAGGGACGAAAGUCUGACCGAGCAACGCCGCGUGAGGGAAGAAGGUUUUCGGAUCGUAAAACUCUGUUGGUAGAGAAGAACGUUGGUGAGAGUGGAAAGCUCAUCAAGUGACGGUAACUACCCAGAAAGGGACGGCUAACUACGUG
rnacentral:rRNA from 1 species